rnacentral:rRNA from 1 species
AGAAUCAACGCUGGCGGCGUGCCUAACACAUGCAAGUCGAACGAGAAAGUGGAGCAAUCCAUUAGUAAAGUGGCGCACGGGUGAGUAACACGUGACUAACCUACCCUUGAGUGGGGGAUAACCUAGAGAAAUCUGGGCUAAUACCGCAUAAUACCUUCGGGUCAAAGGAGCAAUUCGCUUAAGGAGGGGGUCGCGGCCGAUUAGUUAGUUGGCGGGGUAAUGGCCCACCAAGACUAUGAUCGGUAUCCGGCCUGAGAGGGCGCACGGACACACUGGAACUGAAACACGGUCCAGACUCCUACGGGAGGCAGCAGUGGGGAAUUUGCGCAAUGGGGGAAACCCUGACGCAGCAACGCCGCGUGGAGGAUGAAGCCCCUUGGGGCGUAAACUCCUUUCGAUCGGACGAUAAUGACGGUACCGAGAGAAGAAGCCCGGCUAACUUCGCGCCAGCAGCCGC